rnacentral:rRNA from 1 species
AUUGAACGCUGGCGGCAGGCCUAACACAUGCAAGUCGAACGAGUGGCGGACGGGUGAGUAAUGUCUGGGAAACUGCCUGAUGGAGGGGGAUAACUACUGGAAACGGUAGCUAAUACCGCAUACCAUCGGAUGUGCCCAGAUGGGAUUGGCUAGUAGGGGGGGUAAAGGCUCACCUAGGCGACGAUCCCUAGCUGGUCUGAGAGGAUGAACGGCAACACGGGAACGGGGCCACGGUCCAGACUCUUACGGGAGGCAGCAGUGGGGAAUAUUGCACAAUGGGGGCAAGCCUGAUGCAGCAAUGCCGCGUGGAUGAAGAAGGCCUUCGGGUUGUAAAGUACUUUCAGCGGGGAGGCGGUACCCGAAGAAGAAGCCACGGCUAACUCCGUGCCAGCAGCCGCGGUAAUAC